rnacentral:lncRNA from 1 species
UUAUACAGUGUGACAGAGUACAGUAAUUAAACGGGAAGUGUCUGUAAUGGUGGCAGACUCCCGAAAAGCAACUCAACCUAAAACAAUUUUGGGCGCCAGGCAAACAGAUUGAAAACUCUGUCAUCAUUUACUCACCUCAUGCUGUUCCAACCAGUUUGACUUCCUUCUGUGGGAUAUAAAUAAAGAAUUUUUUGCAAAUGUUCAUGCCACUUCAUCUCUAUAUAAUGAAAGUGGAUGGGGUUCAGAGAAUGGCAAGCUUUAAAAGAGACAUAAAAGCACGUACAGUUUGUGACUCUUCUGGAGCCAUAUGAUAGCUUUGUGUACCAUUUUAUGUGGUGUAGUCACUGUUCACUUUUAUUAAAUGGAAUAGCAGACAUUCAGCAAUGAAUAAUAUUUUUUAUCCUGGAAGAAGUUUUCAAUUGUAGUUUAACUAUUACGCACCCACUUUCUCAUACCAUCAAAACAGUAUGUGUGUGUACUGUGUAGGUCAUUGCAUCCAGUAUAUACUGGAUAAGAUUGUAUCUGGUUUCCUAUACAGCAUAUUUAUAUAUUCCCUUAGGCCUAUAUAUUCAUUAUGUGUGUGUGUAAUUUUUUUUAAUUGUCUCUAAUGUUUUAGGUUUGUCACCAGUCUAUGAGAUCAUAGAACCUCACUAGAUGAAGAAGAGCAACAUGAAGAUGAAGAAGAGUUUUAAAAAAUCACAAAAAGCACAUGGCCACUGCGAACCACCAACGUACCUGCAUCAUCGAAGCAACUUUUCAUGUUCUGGUCAUGAAGAAGAUGGGGAGCUUUAACCCUUUAAAUCUAAGAGAACAGAGGCAUUUUCUUAAACAGAAAAUGUAUUUGUUUACAACACAACAGAGGCCAGAUGCUUUCUCCACAAAUAAACAUCAUGUUAAAGUGUCUGUAAGUGACGUUAGGAGUUCUAGAACUGAUACUGAAUUAAACAAGCAUCCUGUUUUACAACCCCAUCGCUUGGACACAACCACCAAAGCAUGUAAAACUUAUGCUUCCUAA